UUUCUACUCCCUUCCUCCCAAAAUACUUGUUGAAGAAAUGAAUAAAAUUAAAUGUGUAUAUAACUAAAAUACGUCUAGAUUCAUUUAUUGCCUUGACAAGUAUUUCUGGACGGAGGGAGUAUUUA
rfam:Triticum aestivum genome assembly, contig: Triticum_aestivum_CS42_TGACv1_scaffold_392545_5AS